AUGCUGAUGGACCAUUCGCAUGCUGUUUCCUUACUAAAGUGUUGUGCGUAUAAUAUAAAACCAACACAUGCGGACACAGCUGCUUCAGCAGUUCUUACUGUUCAUUUCUUAACAGGAGCUAGUCAACAAUUGAUCAAAUACUUCCGGUGCUGCUUCUGGAUUCACUUCCUGGUACACAUCAGACCAACACACAUGUUGAACUUCCACUUCCUGGUACACAUCAGACCAACACACAUGUUGAACUUCCACUUCCUGGUACACAUCAGACCAACACACAUGUUGAACUUCCACUUCCUGAUACACAUCAGACCAACACACAUGUUGAACUUCCACUUCCUGGUACACAUCAGACCCACACACAUGUUGAACUUCCACUUCCUGAUACACAUCAGACCAACACACAUGUUGAACUUCCACUUCCUGAUACACAUCAGAACAACACACAUGUUGAACUUCCACUUCCUGGUACACAUCAGACCAACACACAUGUUGAACUUCCACUUCCUGUUACACAUCAGACCAACACACAUGUUGAACUUCCACUUCCUGAUACACAUCAGACCAACAUACAUGUUGAACUUCCACUUCCUGUUACACAUCAGACCAACACACAUGUUGAACUUCCACUUCCUGGUACACAUCAGACCAACACACAUGUUGAACUUCCACUUCCUGAUACACAUCAGACCAACACACAUGUUGAACUUCCACUUCCUGUUACACAUCAGACCAACACACAUGUUGAACUUCCACUUCCUGGUACACAUCAGACCAACACACAUGUUGAACUUCCACUUCCUGUUACACAUCAGACCAACACACAUGUUGAACUUCCACUUCCUGGUACACAUCAGACCAACACACAUGUUGAACUUCCACUUCCUGGUACACAUCAGACCAACAUACAUGUGGAACUUCCACUUCCUGAUACACAUCAGACCAACACACAUGUUGAACUUCCACUUCCUGAUACACAUCAGACCAACACACAUGUUGAACUUCCACUUCCUGUUACACAUCAGACCAACACACAUGUUGAACUUCCACUUCCUGAUACACAUCAGACCAACACACAUGUUGAACUUCCACUUCCUGAUACACAUCAGACCAACACACAUGUUGAACUUCCACUUCCUGAUACACAUCAGACCAACACACAUGUUGAACUUCCACUUCCUGGUACACAUCAGACCAACACACAUGUUGAACUUCCACUUCCUGGUACACAUCAGACCAACACACAUGUUGAACUUCCACUUCCUGUUACACAUCAGACCAACACACAUGUUGAACUUCCACUUCCUGGUACACAUCAGACCAACACACAUGUUGAACUUCCACUUCCUGGUACACAUCAGACCAACACACAUGUUGAACUUCCACUUCCUGUUACACAUCAGACCAACACACAUGUUGAACUUCCACUUCCUGGUACACAUCAGACCAACACACAUGUUGAGCUUCCAAUCCUGA
ensembl:lncRNA